CAAAAAGAGAACAAAAAGAUUGGAAAAUGCACCAAAAACAAAGACCACAAAAACACCAACAAGCAAGUUAGCAGCUACUUCCCUCUGCAAAAGAGAGAAACACACACAAAAAAAAACAUCUGGAUAGCUAGAUGACAUGAGGAAGAACCGCAACGGUGCCCCCUUUGCCACCCACCGACCAGCAUCAUAGGAUGGGAUGCAUCUCCCACUCGAAGAAGGAGCACGGGCUAGCAGGGCAUUUUUAAGGAACCAUUUUCAAGAGAAGACCUUCGCCCUCUCGACCACUAGCUCGACUAAGGAUCUGCAAAGAGAAGACAACCACCUUGGAAGGAACCCACGACCUCCACAACCUAGCUAGAGUCUAAACAAUCCCCUAGAUGGGGUCCACCUCUGCCCUCGCGUCCCGCAUCAGAGACUUCACAAGCAUAUUUGAGAGUACUGAUAACCAGAAUUAAGCCUCCACCGCCAAGAAACAAUACAUAGAUUUAUAAGCUGCUCAAGUUUCCAAGAUCAAAUAAGACAUAUACUGUAAAUAUUUUUGUUGAUUGAUAAGGUAGCAUUUGACUUGAAAAAUGUAAUGUUAAUUGACAAGUAGUUGCAGUUUGUUAAUUUGUACUGUUCUACUU
rnacentral:lncRNA from 1 species